rnacentral:rRNA from 1 species
ACGCCGCGUGAGUGAUGAAGGCCUUCGGGUCGUAAAGCUCUGUCAAGUGGGAAGAACCCUUGUAUCCGGAUAAUGGAUGCAAGCUGACGGUACCACUGAAGGAAGCACCGGCUAACUCCGUGCCAGCAGCCGCGGUAAUACGGAGGGUGCAAGCGUUAUUCGGAAUUACUGGGCGUAAAGGGCGCGCAGGCGGCCAUGUAAGUCAGUUGUGAAAGCCCGGGGCUCAACCCCGGAAGUGCGACUGAAACUGUGUGGCUUGAGUAUGGUAGAGGGAAGUGGAAUUCCUGGUGUAGCGGUGAAAUGCGUAGAUAUCAGGAGGAACACCGGUGGCGAAGGCGACUUCCUGGACCAUAACUGACGCUGAGGCGCGAAGGCGUGGGUAGCAAACAGGAUUAGAUACCCUGGUAGUCCACCCAGUAAACGUUGAUCAC